UACGGGGGGGGCAAGCGUUGUUCGGAAUUACUGGGCGUAAAGGGCUCGUAGGCGGCCAACUAAGUCAUACGUGAAAUCCCUCGGCUUAACCGGGGAACUGCGUCUGAUACUGGAUGGCUUGAGAUUGGGAGAGGGAUGCGGAAUUCCAGGUGUAGCGGUGAAAUGCGCAGAUAUCAGGAAGAACACCCGUGGCGAAGGCGGCUCUCUGGAACGCAACUGACGCUGAGACGCGAAAGCGUGGGGAGCAAACAGG
rnacentral:rRNA from 1 species